rnacentral:rRNA from 1 species
CCUACUGGUGGCAGCAGUGGGGAAUAUUGCACCAUGGGGGAAACCCUGAUGCAGCGACGCCGCGUGAGUGAAGCAGUAUUUCGGUAUGUAAAGCUCUAUCAGCAGGAACGAGACAAGACGGUACCUGACUAAGAAGCCCCGGCUAACUACGUGCCAGCAGCCGCGGUAAUACGUAGGGGGCAAGCGUUAUCCGGAAUCACUGGGUGUAACGGGAGCGUAGACGGCGGAGCAAGCCUGAAGUGAAAGGCGGGGGCCCAAACCCCGGACGGCGUUGGGAACAAUACGGCUGGAGUGCAGGAGAGGUAAGUGGAAUUCCUAGUGUAGCGGUGAAAUGCGUAGAUAUUAGGAGGAACACCAGUGGCGAAGGCGGCUUACUGGACUGUAACUGACGUUGAGGCUCGAAAGCGUGGGGAGCAAACAGGAUUAGAUACCCGGGUAGUC